UUUAAUCCGGCAACCAUAGCAGCGUAGCAGCAUGGCGCCUCGCUAGUAGUGUCGUGAUGUGUGCGUGCAGCCGUGUGUUUGGGCUUUAUAAGUUGGUUCUUUAUUCUAUGUUGCGGGACGGUGUGGGUGUGGUCCAUGUUGGCCGUACAGGUGGCAGUUAUGCAACCGGGGGAUGAUCCUGUUGAAGUUUCCGGCGGUAUGCGGUUUUCAGCGGUCAUGCCUGUGGCAGAAGUGUCACGUACUCGACGAGGUUACGAGCUCGAAGCUGUGGUCAGAUUCUUCGUUGGCGUUCCGUAAUUCUCUUCGCACGGGCGCGGUAUGUUGGAAAAGCCGCUUUCGCGAUCUAUCGUAGCGACGAUAGAUCGGGUUUCUUUAUUAUUAUAAGUACUGAUCCAGUACAGGGCGGCGCCCUAGAGGUUCCCACUUUUCCAGCCCAGCUUUUCCUCUAGAGUUGUUCUACUAACUCUAUGCUCUAGGGCGCCGCCCUGUUGCUACUGGUCAAUGUGGGCAGCGCAAUUACUAUUGAAAGAGCUGAAAACAAGUACAGGUCACCGUAUGCUUUGUCAUCUAAAAACGCAUACCUGAGGUUUUAUGAAGGUGGUGGGUUAAUAGUAAGUUUACAGAAAGCGAUCACUAAGUCCGUGACUUAUGUAAAUCACGAACUACGCAUUCAUUUAAUAAAGGAUGACGCGAAUUCCGGUUUCGAAUCUGUUUUUUGGAAGCGUAGUAGUUUCGUACAGUUUAGGUUUGACAUCCGAUCGCGCGUCGACAUCGGACGCUAUGGCACACUCGUGCCUUCUGUGCCACCGAAGCCCCGAAGUGCCCAGGCAUAUACCUUCACAUGUUUCCCUUCAGUAGGAAAUUGCUGGACAGGCGGACCAGCGCACCGGAAUUGUACUGGCGAAGCCACAAGCAACUCAAAGAAUCUGUUUAAUUGUUGCACUUUGAACAAUCAUGCUUCUACAAAGGCCACAGCAGAAAAACAGCCUGAUGCCGACUAUUUCUGUGCCACGAAGUAAUCAAGAGGCGAGUGCCUAAUGCGGACGAAAUCGAGUGCAUCGAGACUUAGAACGACAGAAAGCUGAGCUAGUUGGCAAGGAUUAAUUAUGCAAAACAGAGGUGAGGCGUGCAGACAGGACACAAGAGUAGAGAAGUGGGCGGCGCUCGUGUUGCAUGUUUGCUUGUAAAUACUCUAUUCUUGUGUCCUGUCUGCACGCCUCACCUCCGUUUUGCAUAACGAGUGUAUCAACCCACAUAUUAAUAGCGUAGGCGUUUUAUUAACUGUGCAAUAUUUUCAACACUUCCUUGCAUGCCAUUUCAUGUGGAAUAUCCUUUUUGGUCACAAAUUUGUGCAGCGAAUCUAUUUGCAUGAUCGACUUCGGGCCUGUAGGUCCGUUCACUUGCACUUGAUGCUGAGUCUUUUACAUGUAUCCAUAAACUGCAGAUAUGCACAUCAGAUCCCUGCGAGCAUUUUCAAAAUUCAGUUAUUUUAGACAACAGGCACAUAUGCAAUACUGACAUAAUCUCAAAUACCACUAAGCAGCUGGGACACAUUUUUGCUCACCAUACUCGCAGGUAAAAUAAGUAGAAUAUGCGGACAGCUCCAGCACAUUUUCCUUAAAUCAGUGUGUACAAGGAGUAUGCAAAAAUAAUUUUUUCUCGCGCACCGAUUCAUUUGCUGUAUAAGCAAGAGAACACACCACGUUAGUGUAACGUAUCUUGUACAUCACACUAAUAAGUGCUUUAAUUUACCAAGUGAGAUGAGUUACUUUUAUGGAUCAUUCAGUCAUAUCACACUGCAAGCUGCAUUCAUCAAUCUUCAAUUGGAUUUCGCAUGAAACAUGUUUCCCUUUUAUGCAGAUAUGCAAUGGCAAGCCCUUCCGUGUGUUCCAAAGGUAAAAUUUAAGCUCGAAAUUAAAGAAGACAUUUCUAGUCAGAAACAAGCAAAAAUGGUGAAUGCAGAGUAUCAGAAGCCCAAGGUACAGAAAUUAUGAGAAGUGUCGAAUGAUUUUAAGGAAAGAAUGGUAUUUGAAGAUGCAAGAUUCUUUAGUGGAAAUCAAGCAAGUCAGUAUAGGUAGAAUACUCUGAGAAAUUAUGCGAGUAAUGGGAUAGCACACAAUGGGUCAGGAAAUGCGUUGUUUUUCUGAAAAACUAAAGCUGAUGACUGUCAUAUCAUGAGUCACUUUAGCAUCAUGAGACUGCUGUUUGAUAAAUUCAGAAAAAAAACUAUUUAAUGACGCUCUCUCCACACUGGGAUAAAUAAUAAGAAACGGAUCACGUCUAAUGUGGACAUAUCAGACACCUUGUGAAACACUAAAGGAAAAAUUCAGUGUCGAGCUAUGGCACUUGCCGCAUAGAUGUGGGGGGCCUUGCAGUAAUAGUAAUAGUUACCACUGCAUCUAGAAAUUUAAAGCAUUCAUGCAGACAAGGAUGAUUCUUUAUAUUUUUAGCUGCCACUUCAAAUGCCUCCACUAAGUGUUACAAUGCUGCACGCAGCCAUACUAAGGAUCUCACAGCAACACUUGCAGGUAAACAGCAAAAGCAGUCAAAGUGCUGGUGUAUUCUGGACACUGUCUUUGAAAACUUUUAGGCAACAACAGUGCAAGAAACAGACAUAAGAACUGCAUUUAUUUCUAUAAUUCCCCAUUUGAAUGGCCUUUUCUUUUUCCUUCGACAAUGCCUUCGCCUAGCCACAGCAGCUCCCUCAUACAGACUCCGCAAGCCAAGAGGCCGUGGAGGCAAAUGCAGACAGCCAGCACACCUCGAACAGCCACCUUGACUGCGGGUGUGUCACCCUAGUCGCCAAGGAAACAUUUGAGGGAAAGCGACAGGCAAUGUGAACAGCCACUUCUCCAUGUAAACGAUACUCUUUCUCUCGGAUGACUCCUACGUUCGCCACGCCAGCACACUUGUGCACAAAGAUGCCGCGGAGGCACGUGCAGGUCAGAGGCAAGAAGCAGUGGCACUGGUGUCGACAUUCGCCCAAUUUUUUUUUCCUACACUGAGGCAGCCAGCACACCUCGAACAGCCACCUUAACUGCGGGUGUGUUAGUAGAUUCCUGUUGUACAUAUGCUCAUAAUAAACUUCAGUAAACUUGAACUUGAUAAUAAACUUGAAGGCAAAUGGGA